AGAGUUUGAUCAUGGCUCAGGACGAACGCUGGCGGCGUGCUUAACACAUGCAAGUCGAACGGAAAGUGCCCAGCUUGCUGGGUGACUCGAGUGGCGAACGGGUGAGUAACACGUGGGUGAUCUGCCCUGCACUUUGGGAUAAGCCUGGGAAACUGGGUCUAAUACCGGAUAGGACCUCGGGAUGCAUGUUCUGGGGUGGAAAGCUUUUGCGGUGUGGGAUGGGCCCGCGGCCUAUCAGCUUGUUGGUGGGGUGAUGGCCUACCAAGGCGACGACGGGUAGCCGGCCUGAGAGGGUGUCCGGCCACACUGGGACUGAGAUACGGCCCAGACUCCUACGGGAGGCAGCAGUGGGGAAUAUUGCACAAUGGGCGCAAGCCUGAUGCAGCGACGCCGCGUGAGGGAUGACGGCCUUCGGGUUGUAAACCUCUUUCAAUAGGGACGAAGGGUGACUGACGGUACCUAUAGAAGAAGCACCGGCCAACUACGUGCCAGCAGCCGCGGUAAUACAUAGGGUGCGAGCGUUGUCCGGAAUUACUGGGCGUAAAGAGCUCGUAGGUGGUUUGUCGCGUUGUUCGUGAAAACCGGGGGCUUAACCCUCGGCGUGCGGGCGAUACGGGCAGACUGGAGUACUGCAGGGGAGACUGGAAUUCCUGGUGUAGCGGUGGAAUGCGCAGAUAUCAGGAGGAACACCGGUGGCGAAGGCGGGUCUCUGGGCAGUAACUGACGCUGAGGAGCGAAAGCGUGGGGAGCGAACAGGAUUAGAUACCCCAGUAGUCC
rnacentral:rRNA from 1 species